ACUGUGCAAAGACGAAAGUGGACGUAUACGGUGUGACGGCUGGCCGGUGCCGGAAGGGUAAUUGAUGGGGUUAGCGAAAGCGAAGCUCUUGAGCGAAGCCCCGGUAAACGGCGGCGGUAACUAUAACGGUCCUAAGGUAGCGAAAUUCCUUGUCGGGUAAGUUCCGACCUGCACGAAUGGCGUAAUGAUGGCCAGGCUGUCUCCGCCCGAGACUCAGUGAAAUUGAAAUCGCUGUGAAGAUGCAGUGUACCCGCGGCAAGACGGAAAGACCCCGUGAACCUUUACUAUGGCUUGACACUGAACAUUGAGCCUUGAUGUGUAGGAUAGGUGGGAGGCAUUGAAACGUGAACGCCAGUUUGCGUGGAGCCGACCUUGAAAUACCACCGUUUAAUGUUUGAUGUUCUAACGUUGUCCCGUAAUCCGUGAUACGGACAGUGUCUGGUGGGUAGUUUGACUGGGGCGGUCUCCUCCUAAAGAGUAACGGAGG
rnacentral:rRNA from 1 species